AAUCUUUGAUCGCCUCUACUUCCUCUAGAUCCGUCCCCAACUCCCACCUCAAUCGGAUAAAUUGUAUCGCAGAUAACAAAGAAUACGCGUACCCUACAUAAACAGGUCCGAUAAAGUAAUGGGAAGAAAAUAAAUAGAAAAAUUAUUUAUUAUACUUGGACAAUAUAGGAAAAAAGUACAUAUUUAUAUAUAUAUAAAAGGAAUGUAAGAUAAAUAAAAAUAUUCACUUCUUCA